rnacentral:rRNA from 1 species
GAUUAUGGCUCAGGAUGAACGCUGGCGGCGUGCCUAACACAUGCAAGUCGAGCGAUUCUCUUCGGAGAAGAGCGGCGGACGGGUGAGUAACGCGUGGGUAACCUGCCUCAUACACAUGGAUAACAUACCGAAAGGUAUGCUAAUACAGGAUAAUAUAAGAGAUUCACAUGGAUUUCUUAUCAAAGCUCCGGCGGUAUGAGAUGGACCCGCGUCUGAUUAGCUAGUUGGUAAGGUAACGGCUUACCAAGGCGACGAUCAGUAGCCGACCUGAGAGGGUGAUCGGCCACAUUGGAACUGAGACACGGUCCAAACUCCUACGGGAGGCAGCAGUGGGGAAUAUUGCACAAUGGGCGAAAGCCUGAUGCCAGCAACGCCGCGUGAGUGAUGAAGGCCUUCGGGUCGUAAAACUCUGUCCUCAAGGAAGAUAAUGACGGUACUUGAGGAGGAAGCCCCGGCUAACUACGUGCCAGCAGCGGC